rnacentral:lncRNA from 1 species
UUUUUUUUUUUUUUAAACUAUGUAGCCGUGGUUGUCCUGGAAUUUUGCUAUGUAGAUCAGGCAAGCCAUGGAUGGAAAGAGAUUGCCUGUCUCUACCUCCCAGGUGCUAGGAUUAAAGGCUUCACCACCAUGCCUAGCAAGAGGAGGUUUUGGUAUUGUCUAUUGAUAUGUUUGGUUGUUAUACCAGGAACUAGAUGCCCACUGACACCUGCUGCAGAGGGACCAGGGAGACCGAUUCACACGGCAUCACAGUCAGGAUGCCGCUCAAAACUAAGAAUGCCCAAUCCACAAUGUCAGUAGGGCUGUUUCAGAAAUCUUGUUCUAGAGUGUAGUUCAUGCUCUAUCAGGAAUUUGGAAGGAUUCCCAGUGACCAAGGACUAGAACUCUGAGCCAUAGAGCAAGGGCUAUGGGACCAGGAAGCAGAGGCAGGCGGAUUUCUGAGUUGGCCACCAGCCAGGGCUAUAUGGUGAGAUCCUGUCUUCAAACAAACAAACAAACAAACAAAACCACACCAUACUUUAGUGACCUAAAGACAAGAAUAUUUUCUAACACAAUCAUGGUAUCAUUUCCCAAAUCUGGAAGCAGACACUGAGAAGUUAGAGACUCUGUCGACCUCAUUCCUUCCUGUUUCCCCGAUUGUCUCAAAGCUCCCUCUUAUAAGGAAGUCUUGACUUGGAUGUCGAAUUUAAGCAUCUGUCUCUUUAAUCUCCUCGCUUCUGGAAUAGUUUGUCAGCUCUUGUGUUUCAUGCCGUUGACAUUUUGGAAGGACACAGGCCAGUUAUUUUGUAGAAUGGCCCUCAAUUUGGGUUUGUUGACGUUUUCUGCUGUUUGGAUUCUGGUCACUUUGUGGUACUGUCAGGAAGCCCACAGAAAUGAUGACGCAUUCCUUUUAGUGAUCCCAGCCUACUGAGAGAGAUGGGUGCCAGGAGUUUCUGUUGCCAAGCUACACUUUGCUGUGUCCUUAAUGUUCUUAGGGAGGGCACUGUUAGACCGUGGAAGUCUUUAAGCUCUCAUGCGUUACUUUGGAAGACACCAGAUCAUUCUUACUCAAAUCAAGUACUUUUUAUGAUGGUUGCCAAAAGAUGAUUUUAAUCUGCCCUUCUUCCACGUGAGUUGAUUUUUGACUCUAAGGAAGGACGUGGGACUUGGCUCCUCUGCGCUAGUCUCUGACUUGCUGGGCUUGCAGAUGUGUGCUGCCGUGUCUUUUCUUGUGUCCAUAAUAAACUCAUGAGCUUUAUUCAUAAACCUGGAUACUCUGGGGUCUACACCCCCGAGCUGGACUCUCAGCCCCCAUUAUGUGUGUUGAAACUCAGAUUGCCUCAGAUUUGGCCACGGUGAGCUCCGUGUGCACAGAGCGCAUUCCCUUCCUUCUCUGCGCACAGCGCAGGGCGUCUGGACUCUCCUGCCGCGGUCCUGCACUGCUCCAGAAGCUCUGGUUCCUUUCAGUAGAAGAGAUGGUACUUAGAAAUGAAGGUUUGGAUAUGCCUCACACACGAUGCCGAGCUCUCUCUCUCACCCUCCCUCCUUUCUUCCCUCCUUUUCUCUCUCUCUCCUUCCCUUCUCCCCUCCCCUUCCUUCUUUCUGCUUCAGAUCAGUUUCACUAAGAAACCUUUGUUCUCUUCAGUAGAAAAGAUAUUUAAAGUAGCCAGUCUGGGUGCUUACACUUACUGUAAAGUGUUCUCCUGACUGAGUUUGAUUUCAGCUCUGCUAGUAAUGAGACAGAAAGAUCUAGGGCAGGUUGCUAGACAUCUUUGCCUCAUUUUUAUUUUAUUAAUAAGAUGGAACUUAAAAACUGAUCCCCAACAAGAUGGGUAGUGGGCAGUUGCCAUCCAUCCUGAUGACCUGACUGCUUUGGCUUGCCCACUGCCACCCCUGCCCCCUGCACUGCCACCCCCCAUACAAAUGAAUAAAAAUGUUUAAAAAAAUUAGAACCUCUAUAAUCCUCACUGGGACUUGCUGGUCACCAGCUCAGCUGAAUAAAACAUGAGUGCCAGGUUAGUGAGAUUCCCUGUCUCAAGGGAAUAAGGCAAUCGAUAGAGUAUACCUGCCACCCUCUGAGGCUCUGCGCAUGUGUGCAAACACACACACCACACACAGACCACACCACACAAAAGUCAUGAUCUUGGAAGUAUAACUCAAUGACCGUGCAAGCCCAGCAUGUGGGAGGCCCUGAGUUUAGACCCCAGUACUAAACAAAUCAAAACAAAAAAUCCAAGAACAUCAAACUUGUCUUUGGAAGAAGCAAAUGGUUGCACUCUCAACUGGGAGUUUUAUGGACUGUGGAUUAGACCUCAGCUAAAAACCACUCAGCUGAUCCUGAAUUGUGCACGGUUGAUAAAGGUUAAAGAGGAGGAUGUUUGAGAGGCCAUCUCAGUACAGUGGAUGGCCCUACAGAAGCUGGAUUUUACUAAGUAAGGCUGCAGUGUCACCAUUUAUAAAUACAGUAGUGACUAGGUAGGCAAGGGGACAAAGUUUUGAGUAUAGAGGCACCAUGUUCAGUCAGUGCUGCUAGCUUCCUAGGCUGGGUCCCUUCUUCCAUGGAUCAGGUGGAGAUGCUGAGGCCCCAAGAACAGUGGGAGAUAGUAAAUUGAGCUUCCCUCAGCACACAUACACCUCUUAGAACAGUUCACUCUACCUUCGUCCAUCUUAAGUGGGAUGCUGCCACAGCCUGUCGACUUUUGGUCAAUGUCCUGUUUUCACUUGAUUAAGGGCAUGCCAAAGCCAGUGGGAUGGCGUUGGUUACCUGAGAUUAAAGAGGAAAGGAAGAGGGGAGGCUUUGCUUUGGAAUCGUGUGGGGAUGGAUACGACCUUCUGGACUUUCAGCAUCACCCACGAAGCUGGGACCACAAGGAGGAGGAGGUGGGAAGGACUCCCAUGCUAGCAACAUCUCUGAACACCCUAGGCAGGCUCUGGUUUGAAGGCAUUUUGCUUCCUGUGUGCUCUGCAAGUGUGCUGUUUUGCUCCAUUACUAAUCUAAACGAUCUGGAAAUGGAACUUUUGGGGCAGAGUGGCAUUUGCUAUAAAACUCUGUGGGUAUUUUCUUGGCAAGAAAGAUGCUGACCGCUCUGUGGCUCUCUGAAAUUGUGUGCAACUAUAUCAUCAGACCACAGAAGAUCUUCCAGGUUUCCUUUUAAAAACAAGAAAGAGAAUAUUUGCACAACACUCUGUGUUCCCUAUGGAAUUGGAUAUCCCAAAAUAAGCUUGUUGUAGUUUGCUGGGACUGUGAUUCCCUGUGGCUAGCCCUUACUGACAAGCAGCUCACAGGUUGCUCAUGAUGCAAAUAUAAAUAGCUACAUUUAAAAUAAUGCAUUUUUAAAAGCUCCACUUCUAUGGCUUUAGGAGACCAACACUAAAAUUAUUUAUACAGUGGAACCUGCCUUGAAAAGCCUGUCAGAACACUGGUUGAGCGGGCUUUGGUGGCAAGCAGUAGCUUCCUAGGUCGCCAGCCACUGCACCCUUCUUUACGUCCCUGGCUGCCCUGAGCCCUCAUCCCUGGUUACACUGAGCCCUUGGCAGUUUCCCUCUUUUGUCCUCAUCCCUGUAUUAACAGUGUGAAACUCAUUUGCUUCUGACGUUUGUCUCUUUUGCGCUGUUAAUUGCUGCUGAUUAAUUGCUUCUGAGUGUGUGUGUGUGUGUGUGUGUGUGUGUGUAGGGGAGUGAAGAGGCCCCAGGGGCUAUCUCCAUUCUUAAAGAGCAGGUGCUUAACUGUUCCUGCUGCCUUCCUGCUUCUUUUCUCUUUUCCUUUCCUUUUCUUCAACUUUUUCUGUUCUUCUUUCUCUUUUGUUUCUUUCUCUUGGUUGUUUCUAUUUGAGGUGGGGUCUUAAUUGUUUCUUUCUUUAGAUUUAUUUAUUUAUUCUAUGUUUAUUUAUCUGGAGAAAAAUGGAGAACCCAAAAUUAUCCUGAAGAAAUGACAAUUUGCAGGCUAGAUAAUUUUCACUUGCUGUGAGCUCCUGUGUUUUAGGAAGUAACCUCCCCACCCCC